rnacentral:rRNA from 1 species
UACGAAGGGGGCUAGCGUUGUUCGGAAUUACUGGGCGUAAAGCGCGCGCAGGCGGCCUUUCAAGUCAGGGGUGAAAGCCCGGAGCUCAACUCCGGAAUUGCCUUUGAAACUGUCAGGCUCGAGUACGGGAGAGGUGAGUGGAAUUCCCAGUGUAGAGGUGAAAUUCGUAGAUAUUCGGCGGAACACCAGUGGCGAAGGCGACUCACUGGACCACAACUGACGCUGAGGCGCGAAAGCUAGGGGAGCAAACAGG